rnacentral:rRNA from 1 species
GCUAGUAAUCACAGGUCAGCAUACUGUGGUGAAUACGUUCCCGGGCCUUGUACACACCGCCCGUCACACCAUGAGAGUUGAGAAUACCCGAAGUCCAUGUCAAAGUGGCCGAAGGUAGGCUUGAUGAUUGGGGUGAAGUCGUAACAAGGUACC